AACAUAGAAGUAAAAUUUACAUUUAGUUUCGACCUAAAAUUUAAGGUAUCAACCUCAUGUUU
rnacentral:tRNA from 2 species